UACGUAGGCAGCAAGCGUUGUUCGGAGUUACUGGGCGUAAAGGGUGCGUAGGCGGUCGGGUAAGUCUGAUGUGAAAUCUCACAGCUUAACUGUGAAACUGCAUUGGAUACUAUCCGGCUAGAGGAAUGGAGGGGAGACUGGAAUACUUGGUGUAGCAGUGAAAUGCGUAGAUAUCAAGUGGAACACCAAUGGCGAAGGCAGAUCUCUGGGCCGUAACUGACGCUGAGGAGCGAAAGCGUGGGGAGCGAACAGG
rnacentral:rRNA from 1 species